rnacentral:tRNA from 2 species
GCGCCCUUAGCUCAGUGGAUUAGAGCGGCGGCCUUCUAAGCCGUAGGUCGGAGGUUCGAAUCCUCCAGGGCGCGCCA